rnacentral:rRNA from 1 species
UUUUGGAGAGUUUGAUCCUGGCUCAGGACGAACGCUGGCGGCGUGCUUAACACAUGCAAGUCGAACGGAGGUUAAAGGGAAGCUUGCUUUUGUUUAACCUUAGUGGCGGACGGGUGAGUAACGCGUGGAUAACCUGCCCUUUAGACCGGGAUAACGCCGGGAAACUGGUGCUAAUACCGGAUACGCUCCUCGGGCGGCAUCGCCUGGGGAGGAAAGGGGAAACCCGCUAUUGGAUGGGUCCGCGUCCCAUUAGCUAGUUGGUAGGGUAACGGCCUACCAAGGCGACGAUGGGUAGCCGGCCUGAGAGGGUGGACGGCCACACUGGGACUGAGAUACGGCCCAGACUCCUACGGGAGGCAGCAGUGGGGAA